GAUUGACGAAGUUUUUGAUACUGACGGAAUAAGAAAUUAAGUUUACGAUUGGUUUUUGGAACUUUCAUGUUUAUGAUUUUAAGUAGGAGAACAUUUCUCCUGGCGAGAUUUGGGGCUGAAUUUCAGUUUAAAUUAUAUGGGGGACGGAUUGCUGAAGACGGUGUAAUUUAAGAUAAUUUAUGUUUACAAGUUGUUUUUAAAAUCUUAUUUAUAUUUAAGAAAAAAUUUACCUAGGGAACGUCACGUUUAAGAAUUUUAUGAUUUACUACUUCUUUUUUUGAAGAUUGGCUGAUUAUUUAUGAUUGACGGAAAAAUAACAAUAUUUCUAAGAAUACAGUUUUAUAUAACAUAAUAGUUAACCUCUUUUUUUAAACUUAUUUCAGUUUGAAAUUUAUUGUAUUUUAUAAAUAUAUUUUUACCUCUUUUUUGAAAAGUUGACGGGUUUUUAAGACUGACGGAAUAAUGAAAGAUAAUUUUAUUUUACGAUUGGUUUUCAAAUAUUGAUUAUGUUUCUUAGGAUAAAUAUGAACGUUGGACUGAAUUUUAAUUUGCAAGACGAAGACGGCCGGACAAGAACGGAUUUUUUCGUAUCAUAUUUGAAUAUUUUUUCACAAAACUUGUAUUGAAAAAAAUAUUAAGUUGCAUUUAAAAACUGACGGAGUUUUCGAAACUGACGGGAGUUAUUAAAAGUUACCUCUUUUUUUGAAAAGGUAUAUGGAUUUUUUAGGCUGACGUAAUAAUGAAAAACUGAUUAAGUUUAUAGAUCUUGAUUUAUGAUUUUUAGUAGGAGAAAAAUCAAUGUAAGGCUUAAUUUCAUUUUGGAUUUUGUAUCAAAGGAUGUUUUUGACGAACGAAAUAUUGACGAAAUAAUUAAAAAUAUUUUUUGCAAAUAAGGACUUUCUUUACGGUUUUUCGUUGGUAAAUGAUUGACUUGAUUUACCUCUUUUUUGUAAAGAUUGGCGAAGUUUUUAUAACUGACAGAAUAAAUAGAAAAUACAAAUUAUUUUUCGAUCUUUAUUUAUGAUUUUUCGUUGGAAAAAUGAACAUAGGGAUGAAUUUCAGAAAUCAAAGAUUCGUAUUUUGCGAGGUUUUUUGUCAAAUUGUUAUUUUUAUUCUUCUUAUGAUUAUAUCGACAUGACUUAUUCUCUUAUAAUUCGUAUAAUAAAAUGUUAGGAAAGAGCCCAUGGAUCGUUCAGGGUUACUUAUUUAUUUACGUUUUCUUAAGAGGAACAAUAGAAUAUAAGAUGACGGUUAUUUUAAUAUUAAACUUACUUAAGAUACUGCAAAUACUGUGUGAAUAAAAUAUUUUCUUCACUUAGAUAAUUUAUUUAGGCGAAGAAACUUUAUUCACUUAUAAAUAGCUACAUACCUACGUAUGUUUCUAUUAAAGCCGCAACACAAGAGCCACAUAUUAUGUCGACUCAAUUCUGACGUCUUCUUUCUUCAUAUUAUAUUCUUUAUAUUGCAAAAGGAUUUUUUAACAUAUUUCAAAGUAUUUUUUUAAGAAUUUACGAACGUUAAUACAUUUUAUUUCUUGAUUUUGACUGGUAUGAGGUAUUUUUAUCUUGACAACACCAUCAGAGUUGUUAAAGUUACUUUCCAAGAUUAACUUGUUGAAUAUCUCAUCUAUAUUAAUAAGAUAUUUUUUACAUAAUAUAUCGUAUGUUGUGUGAUAGUUAUGUUAUUUUUCGAUUCAUAAUAAUGAAAGAGACAUAAAACAAGUGAAAUUAUAUUACAGAGCGGUGGAGCCAAGAUGCGCAACAAAACUUUACGCUGUUUAGUUUUAAAGAUAAUAUUUCAGACGGAACACGUAUUAUCUUGAUGAUUUGUAAAACAUACAUAUUUGUUUGUUUAAUACUUUAUUAUUUAAUGGAAAAGAGCCCGUGAAUUAUACAGGGUUGCUCUACUAUUUUUAUUGGUAAUUGGAAGGCGUUCUUACUUAUUUACUUUUACUUAUAGUUUAAACAGUUAUUAUGCGUUAGAAUUUUAAGUUAUCACAGCGAUGUUUAAAUAUAAGAUACAGAUUUUUCUACACCGUUGACGUGCAAAUAAAAAGCGUUCAUAUACGAUUAUCAACGUACCAUUAAGUAAAAAAUUAUUAAUACCUAUGUAUAAUAUUAUACAUAUUAUACACAUAUAACGACUAAUCUAUACAUUUAUUUGAAUAUUUAUAUAACGAUUAUUUUAAUAAGUUUACAUAAUUUAAGAAGGUCACAUAAUGUCUGGUAAAAUAUAAAACACCGAAUAGGGUCGGCGUUAUGUUUAUUUUUUUAUUUAUUUUUUUACUUUUUUUUUGUUAGGUAGGCACUGAAACCACAUCAAAUAGGUAGGACGUAAGAAUAGCAAUUAGGUGCGAUAGGUAAAAUAUGUCAAAUGAAAUUAUUUAAACUUAGGUAGGUAGGUAGGUAUAGGUACUAUUUUUAGGUAAUAGGUAGGUUUCGUUGCGUACCUAAGUUAGGUCAAAAAACGUCAGGUCGUGCCUACUUUAUUUUUAGUUUUAGUAAUAUACCUAGCAUAGCAUUAUAUUAAUUAUUAGUUUGUUAAUUCGGAUUAAUUUUAGAUAUAGUUUCGAUUUAAGUGACAUUUUUAAGGUAUUUUAUUUAUUAUUAUUUCUGCUCAUGUUACUUAGGGCCUACAUAUAAUACGUAUAAUUUGAAUCGAAAAGGUAUUCUCCAAUAUAACCAAAGAAAAUUUACUAUUCUCCAUAUUAUAACACCGAUUUCCGAUAUAAAUUAUAUUCAAUGAAUAUUUAAAAGUAUAUAAAUGAAAUAACUUAUAAAUUAAAUUAUCAGGGGAUUCGUUUAUUGAAAUAACUUAAUAGUAAUGUAAUUAUAACUUCUCAUGUCAAAAUACCGACGUUUAUUUUGACUGUAGGCUUUUAUUAUUAUUAUUUGACUCAAAAAAUAUUUGACAAAUUUUAAAUUAUCUAUCUCAAAAACAAAAUCGAAAGUAAUACAAAAAUUAUUAAAAAUUGUACGCCAUAUACUUUUAUUUAAACAGUUUUACAAAUAUCUUAUUUGAAAUUAUUGGAUUCGGCAACGUUCGGCAAAGAAAUAUUUGUCAAUUUAUAUAAAAAACAAUAAAUAGAAGAACUAUUAGUAUAACAUAAUUACGUUUUAGAAGGCUAUACACAAUAUUUGGAACUACAGUUUUGACAAAAUACAAUAUAAAGAAAGACGGAAUAGCUGACAAUCAUUGUAAAAACAAAAAACAAAAUGAUUAAUAAAUAUAGCAUAAAGUUUUAGAAUGCCAUAUCCAAUCUUUGGAAUCUCUGAAAUUAAAAAAAGAUCCUUUCUUUUCUAAUAUUGGAUUUAAAAUGACAAAAACAUGACUAUAUUGUUCUAUCACCAAAAUCCGUCCUAUGGAAUGAUUGAAUUUGGUAAAAUCCAUUAUGCUCAAAUGGUUAAAUUUGGAAAAUUGAGUUAGGAAAAAUUCAAUAACUAUAAUUUCUAAAAAUAGAAAAUACCAUACAUUGGAUUAAUUAAAAAUAAAUUGAACAAUAUAGAAAAACGAAUUGUAUUAAUAGAAUUUGACAAGAUAAAGCAAUUUUUUAUAGGUUUUAUAAUGAUUUUAUUUCACGUAAAGACUAUACGUAUCGUCAAUGACUACAUUUAUAAUCAUUCACGGAUUUUUUAUACACUCUAAUUUUACUUACAUAGUAAACACACAAUUACAUUUAGAUGAACGCACACAUAGAUAAAAUAUCGUGGUAGAAUAGGCACUAUAUCCUAAUCAUUUUCCUAAAAGCACAUUUAAAUUAUUUAAUUCAUAUUAAAAAGUAAAAAGUUCAACGUUGCCAAAUAUUUUACGUUAACGCAAUCUGAUCAGCAUGAAAUAUUCACGUUACUUGAAUUUUCUAAUUAUUUAUUUGAUUUUUAAUGAAUUGAAAUUAGUUUUUCUAUGUGCUUCGAAAUAAUUGUCCACCUGUAGCAUGUCAAAAAGUGAUCUUCGUUUAUUUUUUAAUUUGAAUUUUGGAACGUCGGUUUCUUUUUUGUCUAUGUCCAAUUUGGCGCGAAACGUUUUGUUUUUAUUUAUUUUGCUUCAUGGGCGCGAUGUGAUAUUAUUAUUAAUGUACUAUUUUAACAGCUGUACAUAUUCCUCUAAAAAGUACGCUUAUCGUUACUAAUUAAUAUACAUAAUUAAAUAUUUUGUAUUUUUAAAGAUUUAUUGUUCUUAAUAUGCAUUGGGAUUUGUGUCUCCACGCUUGAAAUACAUUCAGAAUACACAACACAAUUUUAGCGGGACCGGUUUAGAUACACCGUUUUUUUACAUAAUUAUAUAUUUUACACUGCUCGAUGAUAUCUAGUAAUAUUUUUAAAAUACUCUUAUGUAAUAUAUAUUUUUUCUUUAAUAUUAUUUCAGGAGCUAAACUAAACUGUUCACGUAUUUAAUGCCAUCGCUUUUCCUGCAGACCCCGUAAGGUUCCGUCGUUUCCAACAUGGCCGCCUGUCCCAUCUACAAAACUAUAAACACAUAGUUUCAUCAAUUAAUCAACUCGUUUUCGUGGACGACCCAGGAUGGACCCUAGUUAUUCACCAGUAUUAAUAACACCUCCGUAAUUUAGAACAAAAUAAUUAAAUUCAAGAUGUUUUAUUAUUAUGUUGGCGGCGUCAGGCAGGCUUAUUACCAACGGAUCGUAGGCAGCGAUGUUAGUUUCAAAAGUCUAAGAACAAAACUUGGCAGCAGUUAACUCAUGAGGCGAAUAUGAGAUUUAUCUAUCUAGGUAAACUAGGUAUAACUUUAUAUAUAUUCACUAGCUAUAUCUAUCUUUGUAAUUCAAAUGUUUCUGAAACUGAUUUAACUAUAAUGUAUUAGGACAUGUAAGUCGUUCAAUGUUUAAAGUUUACAAAAGUUGAUUACGUUGUCUAUUAUUUGAGUGAGGGGUCAGAAUAUAUUUAUAAACAUAGUUUAUUCUCAUAGUUUUUAUGUAUUACAUUCACAUCACUAAGUUUUAUUUAGUACAUGAAUUAGAGAUGUAAGUUGCGAACGGAGUUCCAAUGUAACUAGAUCUUAUAGAGUACCUAACGUGUAGUUUUGAGAGUGAGCACAAUAAACCGGGCGAUGACUUAGAUUAUUUUAUGAUUAGGAUAUGUUAUUAAUAUUUAUCACAUUCAGUGUUUGACAUCUUACAAUAUGCUAGAGUUAAAUCGUUAUAGGACUAAGGUAGCGUAGGUAUUAUGUACGACAUAUGUACAGUCUAGUAUAGUUAAGAUAUACCCAGAAUACGAUAGCAUUAAGUAGACGACUCAUACAAUAAGCUUAUGUUAGUUCCACUAGGUAGGUAGGAUGGUAGCCCCUGGGUUUUAGGGUUUAAACAGGCCGUAGAUUCAGGAUGUCCGUAUCUAGACUCCAUAAAACGAAUCUGGAAGAAGCCUAAUUUGUUGGCAGGCUUAGAUUCAAACUACUAAACUCUCAGGCGAGGCUUUUCCUGCUAUACUUAGGUUGUAGGAUAACAGCUAAAUAAGGUUCACAUAUUGAUAAACUCUAGAAGUAUUACUUAGACGUAGAAUUUUGGCUGCUAAAUACUGUAUUUUUUUGCAAUUUUAACAUUAAGUAAAUAGUAUUACAGUCUAGUUUUUAGGAUAUUAGUGUUAGCAAAGUCAUUCGCUUCGGAUUUCAUGCCCUUGAUUGCGAUUCUCUACCAAAUACUCGAAGGAACUCGAAUAUUAUUCUUAUUUGAAAAUCAAACACUUAAUCAAUAAUUUAUGUACGUUUUUUUAAUGAAGUAAUUAUAUUUUUGUACUAGAAUUGAUCAUAUUCAUAUGAUAGUAUUGUCUCGAUUGUUUUAUCUGUCCCCGAACGAAUUCUUAAUUUUAUUUACAAAAGAAAAUGUUUUUUAUAAAAUAAUAUAUUUUACAAUUUUUGAAAAAUACAAUUCUUUGACGUUCUGUAAAUCGUUGUAAAAGUGAUUAUAAUAAAUCAUUAGUAAUCAAAGUCUCAAUUUUGUUUCCCUUUGUGUAAAUACUUGAUUUUUCCUAAGACUAUAAGAAUUUCUACUUGAACAGAAUAUUUUAACUUUUUUAACAACAUUGACUUUUAUUAUUUCUACUUCUUAUUUAAUGACAAAUGAUUUUUUAUGCAAAUUGUUUUACUUUAACAUAAUUUAUUCCGCUUGAAUAAGAAUUGCUUCGACUUGACUUUUUAUAUUGGAAUUAUUUAUAAACUAGCAAUAGAUACCAUUGCUAUUUCUAGUCAAUAGAAUUUAGACUUUAUCUACUUACUAAUACAAUUCGACUUGACUUGAUAACUAUUCCUAGAUCCUAUUGACAUUCUACCAAUAGAUACUGCAUCGUUUGCAGUUACUCUAUGAAUGAAGUUACCAACAAAAGCUUUUAGUUUUCGCUAUAAUUGAGAUAUUAUUAGAUAUAAAUUAUCUAUAAUAUUUUAGUUUAUAGAUUAAUAUUAAGAAAUCGUCGCUAAACGAAUUAAAUUUAUUUAAGUGGACGAGAUGAAUUAGCUAGGCUAGGUAUUAGAUGCUUAGUCGAAAGCUAUAGUAGUCAGGUAGGCCUAAAAUGUCUUAUUUUUGGCGAUUAUCAGUCUCGUUCUUCUAGAUAUGGUUUAGGUUAUAUUUUAUUUUCGAAAUUUCAAUACCUUAUCUUACCGUAUUUGAAGAUCUCCCCUGAAUAGUUUUUACUUUCCUGGUAAAAUUACCAUGGACUAAAUCGUAACUUGUUAGCUAGAAAAUUCUCGAGAAUUUUACUAACUAUUCAACACAAGGAUUCUUCAAUAUUUAUAACUUAUUUUCAAAAUCUUCUAUUGAAAGAUGCCAGGUCCACUAUUUUUCACAAGUGCCUUAUUUCCUGUCGAUUUUGGGGUUUACAAAUUUUGUUUUAUUAUUUUUUUUUCUUCAAAUGACUGACUUACAAGACCGUAGAGGACAUACUCCCCUCCCUUUAAAGGCUUUCUAUACCCACUUAAUCCUAUUCCGUCACAAUAUUUUUUUAAUUAAUUUUUUUAAGUGCAUAGGUAGGGUAUCUCAAACAAAGUCCCAUUCGAAGCCCUCUUUUUUGAAUUUGCUAUUAUUAAUUAUCUGUGGGGUACUUAAAAUGUAUGGGGUUUUAAGUUUUUCAUGUAAAACGUAGCUCCCCGAUAGGUUGACUUAGGUAAACGACUGUCUUUCCAUUAAAAAAAAACAAAUCUACUGAGUUUCUUGCCGGUUCUUCUCAGUCGAUUGUAGGUUCCGAACCGGUGGUAGAGUAAAAAAAUAAAUAAAUGUACAAAAAUGAUAAAUAAAUAAAUGAAUUUUAUUAAACCUA